AGCUAGGCCAACGGUAGUGAGUUAUGUCAAUGGGUUGUUCAUAGUUACAGAUCGAACUCCUUGCUUUACUCUUUCUCCCCACCCCCUCUCAAUACUGCACUUGACUAGUCUAAA
rnacentral:Y_RNA from 1 species